GACGAACGCUGGCGGCGUGCCUAAUACAUGCAAGUCGAACGCAGUGGGGACGGGUGCGUAACACGUGGGUAACCUCCCAUCAGAGGGGAUAACACUUGGAAACAGGUGCUAAACCGAUACUGAUGGAUGGACCAGCGGUGCAUUAGCUAGUGGGGGAGGUAACGGCUCGCAAAGGCCACGAUGCAUAGGCGACUGGGGAGGUCGAUCGGCCACACUGGGACUGAGACACGGCCCAGACUCCUGCGAGAGGCAGAAGUAGGGAAGCGUCGGCAAUGGACGAAAGUCUGACCGAGCAACGCCGCGUGAGUGAAGAAGGGUGUCGGAUCGUAAAACUCUGUUGUUAGAGCAGCGGUAUCUAACCAGAAAGCCACGGCUAACUACGUGCCAGCCGCCGCGGUAAUAC
rnacentral:rRNA from 1 species